rnacentral:rRNA from 1 species
CCAAUAGCGUAUAUUAAAGUUGUUGCAGUUAAAAAGCUCGUAGUUGAACUUCGGGGUCUACCCAUUGGUCAGGCUUAAUUGUCUGUACUGGUGAGAUGGAUCUCUACCUUCUGAGGAACUUUCCUGCCAUUUAUUUAGUGUGAUGGGAAAUCAGGACUGUUACUUUGAAAAAAUUAGAGUGUGUAAAGCAGGCUAACGUCUGAAUACAUUAGCAUGGAAUAAUGAAAUAGGACGGACUGAUUCUAUUUCGUUGGUUUCUAGGAUCACCGUAAUGAUUAAUAGGGAUAGUUGGGGGCAUUAGUAUUCAAUUGUCAGAGGUGAAAUUCUUGGAUUUAUUGAAGACUAACUACUGCGAAAGCAUUUGCCAAGGAUGUUUUCAUUAAUCAAGAACGAAAGUUAGGGGAUCGAAGACGAUCAGAUACCGUCGUAGUCUUAACCAUAAACUAUGCCGACUAGGGAUCGGAUGAUGUUAAUUUUUUAAUGACUCAUUCGGCGCCUUACG